UUAAUUUCAGCUGCAGGAACUACGUAUUCUUAAGUAACAAAGCAUCUCUAUGCUUUGUUACUUAAGAAUACGUAGUUCCUGCAGCAGCAGUUCCU
rnacentral:pre_miRNA from 14 species